rnacentral:rRNA from 1 species
UACGAAGGGGGCUAGCGUUGCUCGGAAUCACUGGGCGUAAAGGGUGCGUAGGCGGGUUCUUAAGUUAGAGGUGAAAGCCUGGAGCUCAACUCCAGAACUGCCUUUAAUACUGGGAAUCUUGAGUUCGGAAGAGGUGAGUGGAACUGCGAGUGUAGAGGUGAAAUGCGUAGAUAUGCGCAAGAACACCAGUGGCGAAGGCGGCUCACUGGUCCGAUACUGACGCUGAGGCACGAAAGCGUGGGGAGCAAACAGG